rnacentral:tRNA from 1 species
GUGGGUAUAGCUAAGUGGUAGAGUGCGUGCUUAGCAUGCAUGAGGUCCUGGGUUCAAUCCCCCAUUCCUCCA